rnacentral:rRNA from 1 species
UACGGGGGGGGCAAGCGUUGUUCGGAAUUACUGGGCGUAAAGGGCUCGUAGGCGGCCAACUAAGUCAGACGUGAAAUCCCUCGGCUCAACCGGGGAACUGCGUCUGAUACUGGAUGGCUUGAAUUCGGGAGAGGGAUGCGGAAUUCCAGGUGUAGCGGUGAAAUGCGUAGAUAUCUGGAGGAAUACCGGUGGCGAAGGCGGCAUCCUGGACCGACAUUGACGCUGAGGAGCGAAAGCUAGGGGAGCAAACGGG